GGGCCCGUAGCUUAGCCAGGUCAGAGCGCCCGGCUCAUAACCGGGCGGUCGAGGGUUCGAAUCCCUCCGGGCCCACCA
rnacentral:tRNA from 1 species